ACUCCUACGGUGGUCAAUACCAGCUCUCC
rnacentral:piRNA from 1 species